AGGGUUUGAUCAUGGCUCAGGACGAACGCUGGCGGCAUGCCUAACACAUGCAAGUCGAACGAGAAAGUUCCUUCGGGAGCAAUUAAAGUGGCGCACGGGUGAGUAACGCGUAGACAAUCUGCCCUUCAGUCUGGGACAACUUUUCGAAAGGAGAGCUAAUACCGGAUAGCAAUGCAUGACACAAGUUGUGUAUUUGAAAGCUUUAUGUGCUGAAGGAGGGGUCUGCGUCCCAUUAGCUAGUUGGUAAGGUAAAGGCUUACCAAGGCAACGAUGGGUAGCGGGUUUGAGAGGACGAUCCGCCACACUGGAACUGAGACACGGUCCAGACUCCUACGGGAGGCAGCAGUGGGGAAUAUUGCACAAUGGAGGAAACUCUGAUGCAGCAAUGUCGCGUGAGUGAAGAAGGCCCUUGGGUCGUAAAGCUCUUUUAUGGGGGAAGAUGAUGACGGUACCCCAAGAAUAAGCACCGGCUAACUAUGUGCCAGCAGCCGCGGUAAUACAUAGGGUGCGAGCGUUGUUCGGAAUUACUGGGCGUAAAGGGCGCGCAGGCGGAAUAGUAAGUCGGAGGUGAAAGCCCGGGGCUCAACCCCGGAGGGUCUUUCGAAACUACUAAUCUAGAGAGGG
rnacentral:rRNA from 1 species